rnacentral:rRNA from 1 species
UUAAGCGACUAAGCGUACACGGUGGAUGCCCUGGCAGUCAGAGGCGAUGAAGGACGUGCUAAUCUGCGAAAAGCGUCGGUAAGGUGAUAUGAACCGUUACAGCCGGCGAUGUCCGAAUGGGGAAACCCAGUGCAAUUCGUUGCACUAUCGUUAACUGAAUACAUAGGUUAACGAGGCGAACCGGGGGAACUGAAACAUCUAAGUACCCCGAGGAAAAGAAAUCAACCGAGAUUCCCCCAGUAGCGGCGAGCGAACGGGGAGCAGCCCAGAGUCUGAAUCAGCUUGUGUGUUAGUGGAACGGUCUGGAAAGUCCGACGGUACAGGGUGAUAGUCCCGUACACCAAAAUGCACAGGCUGUGAACUCGAAGAGUAGGGCGGGACACGUGGUAUCCUGUCUGAAUAUGGGGGGACCAUCCUCCAAGGCUAAAUACUCCUGACUGACCGAUAGUGAACCAGUACCGUGAGGGAAAGGCGAAAAGAACCCCGGCGAGGGGAGUGAAAAAGAACCUGAAACCGUGUACGUACAAGCAGUGGGAGCACCUUCGUGGUGUGACUGCGUACCUUUUGUAUAAUGGGUCAGCGACUUAUAUUCUGUAGCAAGGUUAACCGUAUAGGGGAGCCGCAGGGAAACCGAGUCUUAACUGGGCGUUAAGUUGCAGGGUAUAGACCCGAAACCCGGUGAUCUAGCCAUGGGCAGGUUGAAGGUUGGGUAACACUAACUGGAGGACCGAACCGACUAAUGUUGAAAAAUUAGCGGAUGACUUGUGGCUGGGGGUGAAAGGCCAAUCAAACCGGGAGAUAGCUGGUUCUCCCCGAAAGCUAUUUAGGUAGCGCCUCGUGAACUCAUCUUCGGGGGUAGAGCACUGUUUCGGCUAGGGGGUCAUCCCGACUUACCAACCCGAUGCAAACUACGAAUACCGAAGAAUGUUAUCACGGGAGACACACGGCGGGUGCUAACGUCCGUCGUGAAGAGGGAAACAACCCAGACCGCCAGCUAAGGUCCCAAAGUCAUGGUUAAGUGGGAAACGAUGUGGGAAGGCACAGACAGCCAGGAUGUUGGCUUAGAAGCAGCCAUCAUUUAAAGAAAGCGUAAUAGCUCACUGGUCGAGUCGGCCUGCGCGGAAGAUGUAACGGGGCUAAACCAUGCACCGAAGCUGCGGCAGCGACACGAUGUGUUGUUGGGUAGGGGAGCGUUCUGUAAGCCUGCGAAGGUGACCUGUGAGGGUUGCUGGAGGUAUCAGAAGUGCGAAUGCUGACAUAAGUAACGAUAAAGCGGGUGAAAAGCCCGCUCGCCGGAAGACCAAGGGUUCCUGUCCAACGUUAAUCGGGGCAGGGUGAGUCGACCCCUAAGGCGAGGCCGAAAGGCGUAGUCGAUGGGAAACAGGUUAAUAUUCCUGUACUUGGUGUUACUGCGAAGGGGGGACGGAGAAGGCUAUGUUAGCCGGGCGACGGUUGUCCCGGUUUAAGCAUGUAGGCUGGUUAUCCAGGCAAAUCCGGAUAAUCAAGGCUGAGGUGUGAUGACGAAGCACUACGGUGCUGAAGUAACAAAUGCCCUGCUUCCAGGAAAAGCCUCUAAGCAUCAGGUAACAUCAAAUCGUACCCCAAACCGACACAGGUGGUCAGGUAGAGAAUACCAAGGCGCUUGAGAGAACUCGGGUGAAGGAACUAGGCAAAAUGGUGCCGUAACUUCGGGAGAAGGCACGCUGGUGUGUAGGUGAAGCCCCUGCGGGUGGAGCUGAGACCAGUCGAAGAUACCAGCUGGCUGCAACUGUUUAUUAAAAACACAGCACUGUGCAAACACGAAAGUGGACGUAUACGGUGUGACGCCUGCCCGGUGCCGGAAGGUUAAUUGAUGGGGUUAUCCGUAAGGAGAAGCUCUUGAUCGAAGCCCCGGUAAACGGCGGCCGUAACUAUAACGGUCCUAAGGUAGCGAAAUUCCUUGUCGGGUAAGUUCCGACCUGCACGAAUGGCGUAAUGAUGGCCAGGCUGUCUCCACCCGAGACUCAGUGAAAUUGAACUCGCUGUGAAGAUGCAGUGUACCCGCGGCAAGACGGAAAGACCCCGUGAACCUUUACUAUAGCUUGACACUGAACAUUGAGCCUUGAUGUGUAGGAUAGGUGGGAGGCUUUGAAGCGUGGACGCCAGUCUGCGUGGAGCCAACCUUGAAAUACCACCCUUUAAUGUUUGAUGUUCUAACGUUGGCCCCUUAUCGGGGUUGCGGACAGUGUCUGGUGGGUAGUUUGACUGGGGCGGUCUCCUCCCAAAGCGUAACGGAGGAGCACGAAGGUUAGCUAAUCCUGGUCGGACAUCAGGAGGUUAGUGCAAUGGCAUAAGCUAGCUUGACUGCGAGCGUGACGGCGCGAGCAGGUGCGAAAGCAGGUCAUAGUGAUCCGGUGGUUCUGAAUGGAAGGGCCAUCGCUCAACGGAUAAAAGGUACUCCGGGGAUAACAGGCUGAUACCGCCCAAGAGUUCAUAUCGACGGCGGUGUUUGGCACCUCGAUGUCGGCUCAUCACAUCCUGGGGCUGAAGUAGGUCCCAAGGGUAUGGCUGUUCGCCAUUUAAAGUGGUACGCGAGCUGGGUUUAGAACGUCGUGAGACAGUUCGGUCCCUAUCUGCCGUGGGCGCUGGAGAAUUGAGGGGGGCUGCUCCUAGUACGAGAGGACCGGAGUGGACGCAUCACUGGUGUUCGGGUUGUCAUGCCAAUGGCACUGCCCGGUAGCUAAAUGCGGAAGAGAUAAGUGCUGAAAGCAUCUAAGCACGAAACUUGCCCCGAGAUGAGUUCUCCCUGAGACUUUAAGUCUCCUGAAGGAACGUUAAAGACGAUGACGUUGAUAGGCCGGGUGUGUAAGCGCAGCGAUGCGUUGAGCUAACCGGUACUAAUGAACCGUGAGGCUUAACCUU